UCCAUCAUAGGGUUUGAAUCCAAGACCACAAGGUUAAGAGCCUUGUGCUCUACCAACUGAGCAAUGG
rnacentral:tRNA from 1 species